rnacentral:ribozyme from 1 species
GCCGCUCGGAACUUUGCACACCUCUCCGUGGUGAGUAGUAGGCAACGCUUGUAAAGCGGCUAAGAAUGCGAAG